ensembl:antisense Gm12207 predicted gene 12207
GUACCUUUAGAGUAACAUUGAAGGCUUGUAUCUUCCUUAGAAGCACAGACCUGCCUAGUUGCAUGUGAGGUAGGGAUUUUGGUGCCCACCUUUAGUCCCAGCACUGGAGGCAGGCGGAUUUCUGAGUUCGAGGCCAGCCUGGUCUACAAAGUGAGUUCCAGGACAGCCAGGGCUAUACAGAGAGACCCUAUCUCGAAGGAAAAAAACAACAACAAACCCAACAACAAAAAGUUGUAAAUUCAGUACCGCCUUUAAAUGGACCUUAAAGACUGAGAAAAUAUUCCUCCCUCCCUCCCCUUUCCUUGUUCCUUUCCCAUCUCUCCCUUUCCCUCCCCUGUUCUCUCCACCCUUUCUUUCUUUCUUUCUCUCUCUCUCUCUAGAUAAAUGCAGAGCCAGGUAGUGGUUUCACACCUCUAUCACAGCACUUGUGAGGCAGAUGUAGACAGAUCUCUGAGUUCAAGGUUAGCCUGGUCUAUAGAGUUCCAGGACAGCUA